rnacentral:lncRNA from 1 species
UGAUCUUUAUUUUUUUUGUUUUGUUGUUAUAUUGCUUUUUUUAUAACUUUCUUGAAUUUGAUUUGUGUGUAUAUAGCUGCUUUUGUUUACAUAUGCUGUUAAUUAUAUCAAAUUUUAUGUUGUGAUUAUUUUUUUUUGAUAACUGUGGUGUUCGAGCUAGAUUUCGGCAUCUAGACUAAAUCCGCGGGCUACCUGUCAGCCUCCCAACAGCAACAAAUAUUAUUAUCUUUGUCCACUAAGACUACGACAGAUUAAAGAAUCACCUAGUGUUUUUUUUUGUCUUUGUUGGGACAAAUUUUAUGUAGUGAUUUUAGUUCAAGAAUAGAUUUUUAUGCUGAUUCUUGAUUCAGAAGCGGAGCCAUGGAGUAACUGGUAAAGUUCCCGCGAUUUGACCAGGAGGUCGCGGGUUCAAGGCUUGGUAAUAGCCUCCGGCAAAUACACCCUUGUGGUGGGGCCCUUUCCCGAAUCCUGUGCAUAGAGGGAGCUUUAGUGCACCGAGCUGCCCUUUUUACUGAUUGUUGAUUCUGGGUGGAAAGGCUCUCUUCAUAAUUUCUCCGUGUAAUCCCAUAAGUGGGGUCUAAUCCCAUAAGUGGGGUCUGGGGAGUAUAGAUUGUACGCAGACCUUUUCCAUACCUUGUAGAGAUUGAUAGGUUAUUCCUGAUGGACCUCGGGUUAAUUGAAGUAUACCAAACAGUUUGAAAAAGGGGAUACGGAUAUGGGGGGAAUAUAAUAAGAAGAACGAAAUAAUGUGAAAUGGAGAGAAUUACACAAGAGUCGGAAGAAAGAACAGUAACGACAGUGCAAUAAUAGGAGCAUAAAAAACACUAGUGAUAGCUGAAAUCGAGGAACAAAAAACUACGAGAAUAGUGCUAAAUAACUUUCUUGAAUUCGAUGUGUGUAUAUAGCUGCUUCAGUUUCAAUAGGCUGUAGUAAAUUUUAGUUCAAGAAUUGAUUUCUAUGUUGUUUCUUGAUUCUGGGUGAAAAGAGUUUAUGGAUUUUUAAUCUUUUUUUGUUUUUUUUAAUCUACCAACAACAACAACAACAUAUGAUGUGUAAUUCCACAAGUGGGGUGGGGGGUUAGAGUGUACGCAGACAUUACCCUUACUUCGUUGAGAUAGAGGGUUGUUUAUGAUAGAUCCUCGGUUUAAAUAAAGCAUAGUAAACAGUUUGAAAAAGGGGAUAUAGAUAUGGGAGCAUGUGAACAAUGAAAUAAUGCGAAAUGGAGGGCAUUACACAAUAGACAGUAGAAAGAAUAGUAAUGGCAACGAAAUAAUGUAAUAAUGGGAGUAGAAAAAACAUCGGUGAUAGCCGAAAUCAAGGAACAAGAAACUAUGAGAAUAGUGUUAAUACUAUUGGUAAGAAGGAAGGUCCAAGUAUGAUGACUAAGCCUACCUAUCCCGUAGGGCAGUGAGAGAAUGCUCAACUAUCAACAAACCUUCUACUCCCGCGACCUCCAAGCUCCCCUAUCUACCAGUCCACUAAUAUCUGGAGGCUGUAAUUUCAUAAAAAAUAUGUAUUGUUUCUUGUUCAAGAGUUGAUUUUUAUGCUGCUUCAGUUUCGGUAGGUUGUUAUAUUCUAAUAUGUAAUGAUUUUAGUUAAAGAAUUGAUUUUUAUGCUGUUUCUUGAUUCUGGAUGAAAAGGAUAUCUUCUUAACAUUGUUGCAGUUUUGUCCACCUGUCCACUAAUGUAUUGAGGUUGUAAUUUCAUAUAAUUUAUGUACUGAUUAUUCAAGAAUUGAUUUUUAAGUUGUUUCUGGGGAAAAAGGGUGUCUUCUUAACCGCUGGAAAAGAAUAUCUCAGGAAUCUUUUGCAUUUUUAUUCACUAGUAUCUAGAGGUUUAUUUACUGUUUGUGUUCAAGAAUGGAUAGUUAUGUUGUUUCUUAUUCGGAUAAAAGGGGUGUAACAGCCCAGUGAGACUGUCUGUUUUGAGCAUAAGUCGGAACGGCUAUAAAACGUGUUACCCUGUUGCUAGGUGUAGUGGCUACUUAUCUAAGAGUAAGGACCAGAGAAGUGAUAAUGAAAUUAAUUAAACCUGAAUCUGCAAUGCAACUGAAUGCAAAAAUAAUGAAGAAAGGUAGAAGGGAAUGGGAAUACAAAGAAGAAGGAAGAUGAGGAAGGGAUAAGCAUUAAACGUAGCCUAUCUGUUGGCUAUUCCUACCCGUUACUUAUUAACCAUCCUCCCCAAAUCCAUUCCGGCUUAUCAUUCUCCAAACCUACAUCCCAUUCAUAAUCAGCUUACUUUUCUAGAGGGUUAUUUAAUGUUCAUGCUUCUUCGAAAUGCUCCAUCUUGGCAUUCAGUUUUAGGCUUUUAGCUUCCACCAUGUCCUCCAUUGUGUCAAUCUGACCCCCUGGGUUACGUCACUAGGAUCUAAGACCUGUUUCUUUUUAUACCAACAUCUCUCCAUGUUUGUUAAUGUUUAAUUUGCCUAAGGUGUUACAUACACCUCCCUUUAGGGACUCAGCGUCCUUGAUUAAGUUUUCUUCACUAUUCUUUAAGGUCAGAGGCGGAGGCACCUCUGAUACCAUACGUAACAGCCUAGUUUGCUAGUAAGUUCAUCCCCAAAAAUUGUAGUUAUUGCCGUAUAGGGGGGUUGAAAUGAUAAUCAACCUUCAAAGUAUGAUAAAAGUUCACAUUACGGCAUUAUAGAUGAUAAGAUUAGUUUGGUCCACUGCAUUUACUCAUUGGUUCUUCCAACUGUCAAUAAAUGUGUAUUUUCAUUUUCUUAUAUUUCUCUAUAUGACUGUGAUGCAGGAGAUGAAAUGACCCGUGUCAUUUGGAAAUUAAUCAAGGACAAGGUAAAAACGUUGUUUGGCUUAUGCACAUCUCAGUUAAAUAUUCUAUGCCUAUCCUCUCAUAUUCAUUUCACAGUUGCUGAUAUAUGAAUUCUCUUUUAAGCGUUAGCUCAUCUUGCCCUUUGUGGAGUUGGAUAUAAAAUACUUCGAUCUUGGCCUUCCUCACCGUGAUGCCACAGAUGAUAAGGUUACAAUUGAAAGCGCUAAGGCUACUUUGAAGUAUGUAUUCAUUUCUUUCUAUCGUCUAGUAUCUACUUAAUGAAAGAAUGACUGUUUUAGGAGCAAGUUCAUAUGCUGACUUUCCCUAAUCUUUCCAUCGAUUACUGAAUGUUUGAUCUUUAUACACCCAGCCUUAUUAUGUUUGAACUGACAAAUUGCAGGUAUAAUGUAGCAAUUAAGUGUGCAACCAUCACUCCAGGUGUUUACAUUUUUUCGUGUGGAUUAUUUGAUUAUAUUAACCUACUGGUCCUGGAUUAAUUAUGGUAUUCAGAGUACAAUGGUUAAACGAUCUAAUUUUACUGUAAUAUCGGACAUCUAUUGUUUGGUCUUUAAAAUAGAAGUUGCGUGUUUAGGACCUACAUCAAGGAACUAUGUGCUACAACUUGAAAACAUUGAAAAAAGUUCGAUAAAAUCAUAAGUUCUUUAGCAUAUAAAUUAGACAGAGAGACAAUAUAAGAUGUUGAACUUGGAAUAAAGUUGUAUGUGCAUGCAUUUGCAGAUGAGGCUCGUAUGAAGGAGUUUAACUUGAAGCAUAUGUGGAAGAGCCCAAAUGGGACAAUUAGGAAUAUUCUAAAUGGUGAGUCUCCAUCUCUACACGACAAUUUGGUGGGUGAUAUCUUUGUAUGGGAUUUAAGAUAACCAUUAUCAUUGGUUAUUUUGUUGCAGGUACGGUAUUCAGGGAACCAAUCCUCUGCAAAAACAUCCCUCGACUUGUCCCAGGUAUAUUUUACUUGCUGAAGUUGUAUAUUUGUUCGUUGUUCAGUUUAUUCUCUUUCACUUACAUAGAUGUAGCUGGCAUCAGGUUGGUCAAAACCGAUAUGCAUUGGCAGACAUGCUUUUGGUGAUCAAUAUCGAGCUACUGAUACAGUAAUUCAAGGAGCUGGAAAACUCAAAUUAGUAUUUGGUAAAGUUUUUGCUGAUCUGUAUAGUUGCAUGAACCUUUAUGAUUCUCAAGUUCCGCUGGAUAUUUAUUUGUUCUACUCUAGUUUGUCUUCGACUAAAUUGGUUCAAGUUCAUUCACACCUUUUGGUUAUUCUGUUUAGAAAAUGCCGCUGAGAUAUUCUGUUGAACCUGAUUGCAGUACCAGAAGGGACGGAUCAAAAGACCGAGUUUGAGGUUUACAACUUCACUGGUGCUGGUGGAGUAGCUCUAUCCAUGUACAACACGGAUGAGGUUUGAGUGCACCUAAACCUAUGUUGCUCUGUCUCUCCAAAAUUGUUGCUGCACCCGUAUCGGAUCCUUCAAAAUUGCACUACUUUUGGAGGAUCCCAUAUGCACAGUCUGCGCAGCACGGCGUAAAACAAAUAAUUAGAUUUCAGAUCCGUAUGCACAGUCUGACCAACAUGGCGUAAAAGAAAUAAUUAGAAUGCGUAGAGUUAGAAUCUUUCUUGCUUUUUUCUUUUGGUGCAGUCUAUUCGUUCUUUCGCUGAAGCUUCUAUGAACAUGGCGUACCAAAAGAAAUGGCCACUCUAUCUUAGCACAAAGAAUACCAUCCUUAAGAAAUACGACGGAAGGUAUGUCUAGCGCUGAUAUGAUUCUAUAUUUAUCUGCACACUCACCAUUUAAGUUGGAUUAUUCAUUUACCUUUUUACCUCUAUUUGCCUGUCUUCCUAUUUUUGGGUUUCUAUUCUUACAUUUUAUGAUCUUUUCUGAAGAUUCAAGGACAUAUUCCAGGAAGUUUAUGAGUCCAACUGGAAGUUGAAGUUUGAAGAAGCUGGGAUCUGGUAAGCACCCAACUUUUCAUUUCCAACAACUGGUUCUUGUUAAUGAUUGUAAAUAAUGGAGAUUCUUAAAUGCUUGAAUUCAUGAAAAUAGGUACGAACAUCGCCUCAUCGAUGAUAUGGUUGCUUAUGCUUUAAAAAGUGACGGUGGUUAUGUAUGGGCGUGCAAAAACUAUGAUGGAGAUGUACAGAGUGAUUUCUUAGCACAAGGUAUGCUUGGCCAGCUUGCUAACGGUUUAUAAAUCUAUCUAGAAUGCAUUUUGGAUUUUCAAUAUGAAAAUGGUAAGACAAAAAUUACUUGUUCAAUUUUCACUUACGCUACCUACUUUCGUGCUCGUAUGAGCUCAUAGUUGUUCUUAAACUCUUUAUCACUUUAACAGGAUUUGGAUCCCUCGGAUUGAUGACCUCGAUCCUGGUAUGUUCUUUAUUUGCUUCCAUUUUCCCCUUCUUCUCCCAGUUCCUUUAAUUUCGGGUUCUUUUUCUCGUGAUUUCAUAUGAUUAUUUGAGAAAUCCAUGCUUGAUUCAGAUGUUUUCUAGAAAAUAAGAUUUAUCGUUCGUUGGAUCAUUUUAGCUUCAUUUCUGAUUUGCGACUUCAUUUUGGAUUCAAAUGGGGUUGGAAUAUUUGGUUCAGAUAUGUCCGGAUGGAAAGACCGUGGAAGCAGAAGCAGCCCAUGGAACUGUUACACGACACUACAGGGUUCAUCAAAAAGGAGGUGAAACCAGCACGAACAGCAUCGCCUCAAUUUUUGCUUGGACUCGU